rnacentral:rRNA from 1 species
UGGGGAAUCUUCCGCAAUGGGCGAAAGCCUGACGGAGCAACGCCGCGUGAGUGAAGACGGCCUUCGGGUUGUAAAGCUCUGUUAUACGGGACGAAUAGUCUUGUGGUUAAUACCCAUGAGAAGUGACGGUACCGUAAGAGAAAGCCACGGCUAACUACGUGCCAGCAGCCGCGGUAAUACGUAGGUGGCAAGCGUUGUCCGGAAUUAUUGGGCGUAAAGGGCGCGCAGGCGGCUUCUUAAGUCUGUCUUAAAAGUGCGGGGCUUAACCCCGUGAUGGGAUGGAAACUGGGAAGCUCAGAGUAUCGGAGAGGAAAGCGGAAUUCCUAGUGUAGCGGUGAAAUGCGUAGAUAUUAGGAGGAACACCAGUGGCGAAAGCGGCUUUCUGGACGAAAACUGACGCUGAGGCGCGAAAGCCAGGGGAGCGAACGGG